AUGGAGGGCGUCAGGGCGGAGGAGGUGGGCCACCUCCUCCGCUCCAUCGCAGCCUCGGACGGCGCCGUCGUCAACGUCAGCGAGAAGGUGUCGGCGCUCAGCAACUCCGUCGCGUCGCGCGCAUUUUUCGGCGGCAAGCUGGCGCAGCAGGACGUGUACCUGCGGGAGUUCCACCAAGUCAUGGAGCUGAUGGGAGGCUUCUGCCUCGUCGACCUCUUCCCGUCGUCCCGGUUGGUGCGGUGGCUGAGCAACGGCGAGCGCCGCAUGAAGAAGAGCUACGGCAGCAUCCGACGCAUCAUCGAGGACGUCAUCGAGAGGCGCAAGGCUGAGCGCCUCGCCGGUGGCACCGAAGACGAGGGCCUGCUGGACGCGCUGCUCAGGAUGCAGGAGGACUCGUUAGUAUCACCGCUAACCACAGACGCAAUAGGCACCAUCUUAUUUGACAUACUUGGAGCUGCCACGGAAAAUGGUGAUGCAUGUCGACAUACUUGUGCCAUGAAGCAUCACAUUGUAUCUUUAUGCAUUAGAAUAAGGGAGACACGUUGCAUAGAACAACAUCUUCUAUCAACGUGGUCAAGCAUGGAUUAUCAUAUUUUGUUCUUUGCCUUUGCAAUGUUGAAUAAAGCAUAA
rnacentral:rRNA from 1 species